AGGUUAUUUUUCUCUCAAAUUCGUGUCUACCAACGCCCAAUUGAUUCUAGGUAACCCAACAUCCUGAGCUAUCUGCAUUAUGCUAAAGCUUCUCAAUAGGUAAGCCGUUCACGUUAUGCUGGGUAAUUGACAUUUUUUUUUUGCAUUUCUAGUGGUUUUGUCACCAAGAUUGGUACUUAUGUUCUUACUAAAAGAACAAUAACAGUGCCUUACAUGAUCGAUAAGAGGAGAAAAAGAAUUCAUUUGAAGAAUUACCCGUACAUUUAGUUGCUAGCUGAUGUAAAGCUGCUUAACACUUCCCCUAUGGCAAACUUCUAUAGUUUUCUGACUGAGAAGUCUACAAAAGGUAUUGCAAAUUGGAAACAGUGAGCUUUUGAUGCACAUAUCCAUUGAAUUUCUCAAUACUCUUCAUUUGUUAUUUUGCUCUCCAAUCAUAGUUUCUUUUUGAUAUACCUGCUGUGCGCCUGCUCCAUAAGUUGUUCAUAGCAAGCUGAUUGUCUUCUUAAUGUUUCUCCCCAUCUAUUAUUUUAAUCACUUUAUUUAAUGUUUAUGAUCCAAG
rnacentral:lncRNA from 1 species